AUGGCUCAGAUUGAACGCUGGCGGGAUGCUUUACACAUGCAAGUCGAACGGCACGGACUUCGGUCUGGUGGCGAGUGGCGAACGGGUGAGUAAUGUAUCGGAACGUGCCUAGUAGCGGGGGAUAACUACGCGAAAAGCGUAGCUAAUGGCCGCACACGCCCUCGGGGAAAGCGGGGACCUUCGGCCUCGCAAUCUAUUAGAGCGGCCGAUAUCAGAUUAGCUAGGUUGGUGGGGUAACGGCUCACCAAGGCGACGAUCCGUAGCUGGUUUUGAGAGACGACCAGCCACACUGGGACUGAGAUGACGGCCCAGAUCUACGGAGGCAGCAGUGGAAUUUUGGACAAUGGGGAACUCCUGAUCCAGCCAUCCAGCGUGUGCGAUGAAGGCUCGGCCAAAGCACUUUUGGCGAGAGAAACGCACGGGAUAAUACCCCGUGCAACUGAUUUCGCCUGGUGGAAUAAGCAAUCAUAACUACGCCAGCAGCCGCGGUAAUACGUAGGGUGCAAGCGCGUUAAUCGGAAUUACUGGGCGUAGCGUGCAGGCGGUUCGGAAAGAAAGAUGAAAUCCCAGAGCGCAUUGAACUGCAUUUUUAACUACCGACAGAGUGUGUCAGAGGGAGGUGGAAUUCCGCGUAGCAGUGAAAUGCGUAGAUAUGCGGAGGAACACCGAUGGCGAAGGCAGCCUCCCGGGAUAACACUGACCGUCAUGCACGAAAGCGUGGGGAGCAAAACAGGAUUAGAUACCCUGGUAGUCCACGCCCUAAACGAUGUCAACUAGCUGUUGGGGCCUUCGGCCUUGGUAGCGCAGCUAACGCGUGAAGCGCUGACCGCCUGGGAGCAUUGGUCGCAAGAUUUAAAAACUCAAAGGAAUUGACGGGACCCGCACAAGCGUGGGUGGAUGAUGUGAUUUAAUUCGGAUGCAACGCGAAAACCUACCUACCCUUGACAUGUCUGGAAUCCCGAAGAGAUUUGGGAAAUGUGAGAACCGAACACAGGUGCGUUGCAUGGCUGUCGUCAGCUCGUGUCGAGAUGUUGUCAAGUCCCGCAACGAGCGCAACCCUUGUCAUUAGUUACAUGAAAGGGCACUCUGACGCGAGAUCAUGGUGACAACCGGAGGAAGUUGCGGGGAUGACGUCGUCCUCAUGGCUCUGCGGGUAGGGGUCACACGUCAUACAAUGGUCGGGACAGAGGGUCGCCAACCCGCGAGGGGGAGCCAAUCCCAGAAACCCGAUCGUAGUCCGGAUCGCAGUCUGCAACCCUGACCUGCAGAAGUCGGAAUCGCUAGUAAUCGCGGAUCAGCAUGUCGCGGUGAAUACGUUCCCGGGUCUUGUACACCCCGCCCGCUACACCAUGAGUGGGUUUUACCAGAAGUAGUUAGCCUAACCGGAAGGGAGGGCGAUUACCACGGUAGGAUUCAUGAUCGGGGUGGUCGUAACAAGGUAG
rnacentral:rRNA from 1 species